rnacentral:rRNA from 1 species
UUUAUGGAGAGUUUGAUCCUGGCUCAGGAUGAACGCUGGCGGCGUGCCUAAUACAUGCAAGUCGAGCGAACGGACGAGAAGCUUGCUUCUCUGAUGUUAGCGGCGGACGGGUGAGUAACACGUGGAUAACCUACCUAUAAGACUGGGAUAACUUCGGGAAACCGGAGCUAAUACCGGAUAAUAUUUUGAACCGCAUGGUUCAAAAGUGAAAGACGGUCUUGCUGUCACUUAUAGAUGGAUCCGCGCUGCAUUAGCUAGUUGGUAAGGUAAUGGCUUACCAAGGCAACGAUGCAUAGCCGACCUGAGAGGGUGAUCGGCCACACUGGAACUGAGACACGGUCCAGACUCCUA